rnacentral:rRNA from 1 species
CGUUCCCGGGUCUUGUACACACCGCCCGUCAAGUCAUGGAAGUUGUUCUACCCGAAGGUAGUGUCCUAACCGCAAGGAGGGAGCUAACCACGGUAGGGUCAAUGACUGGACU